CGCGUAGGCGGUUUGAUAAGUCAGAUGUGAAAGCCCACGGCUUAACCGUGGAAGUGCAUUUGAAACUGUUAGACUUGAGUACCAGAGGGGAAAGUGGAAUUCCCGGUGUAGAGGUGAAAUUCGUAGAUAUCGGGAGGAAUACCGGUGGCGAAGGCGACUUUCUGGCUGGAUACUGACGCUGAGGCGCGAAAGCGUGGGGAGCAAACA
rnacentral:rRNA from 1 species